UACGAGUGGUGCAAGCGUUAUUCGGAAUUAUUGGGCGUAAAGGGUGUGUAGACGGUACAUCAAGUCAACUGUUUAAUUCUCCGGCUUAACUGGAGGUCAGCGGUAGAAACUAAUGUGCUGGAGGGUGAGAGAGAGAAGUGGAAUUCUCGGAGUAGCGGUAAAAUGCGUAGAUCUCGAGAGGAACACCGAUGGCGAAGGCAGCUUCUUGGCUCAUUCCUGACGUUGAAACACGGAAAGCGUGGGGAGCAAACAGG
rnacentral:rRNA from 1 species